rnacentral:rRNA from 1 species
UAAUACGGGGGAUGCAAGCGUUAUCCGGAAUGAUUGGGCGUAAAGCGUCUGUCGGUGGGUUUAGAAGUCUGUACGUUAAAUCGUAAAGCUCAACUUUAUUAAAGCUACAGAAACUCUAGAUCUUGAGCAUGGUAGGGGUAGAGGGAAUUUUGAGAGUAGCGGUGAAAUGCGUAGAUACUCGAAGGAACACCGACGGCGAAAGCACUCUACUGGGCCAUGUCUGACACUCAGAGACGAAAGCGUGGGGAGCCAAUAGGAUUAGAGACCCUAGUAGUCCACGCAGUAAACGAUGGAAACUAAAUGUAGCUUCAAUUAUUUUUGAGUGGUAUUCCCACACAUUUGAUAGUUCUGGCUGUGUUGUAGCUAACGCGUUAAGUUUCCCGCCUGGGGAGUACGAUCGCAAGGUUG